rnacentral:lncRNA from 1 species
UUUGACACAUUAGUAUCAUCACGUUUAUUUGACACAUUAGUAUCAUCACGUUCAUUUGAAACACUAGAAGAACCAAUUGGUUUCAGUUUAAUGAACUUAUCUAAAGACCCUUUUUGUUUCAAUUUAGAUUCUUCAGCUAAUUUUCGUUUUUUUCUUUUUUCAGCUCCUGAUAAGUGUUUUUUAGGAAACAUUAUAGUAACUAGUAAGGAAAGAAUACACCUGAAAAUCAAAAACUUUGAUGAUGUUUUAUGGUUGAAUCCAAAUGGUGCUUUUCUGUGGAAGGCUUGAAUCUACCAGGCCCGUAUCAAAAACUUUGAUGAUUUUUUUUGUUAAUCUACAAACAAUAAAAAAAAAUCAGAAACUUUGAAGAAAGGUUAACAAAAAAACAGAUUGCUAUUGGUAAUUUGAAAGCAACGCAAAAACUUUACCUCAAUAAACUUUGAUUGGCAGUAUGACCAGAAAUCAGCUGUUAACAAAAUUUGGGCUGCAGACAAACAAAAAUAAAAUAUUUUCAGCAACUUGAAUAAGAAAAAAAAAAACAGCAAGUAUCGUCAAAACUAAGAAAAAAAUCGAACUCACCAUAAUGAAAUUAGACAUUCAGACUUGUAGAUUGCUUGUGAGUAGUAGAAAUGUCUAAAAUCAGAUUUUUGAAUCACAAAGUUACAAAGAUUGGGCUGCAAACAAACAAACAUAAUUUUUUUUACACUUGCAAUCAGUGAACAACUACCAAACAAAAAAAGAUUGAAAGAAAUUUGGUGUUACCUAAUGAAAUCGGACUCAAAAUCUGGGAAAUUGGAGCGAAUUGAUAAUGAAACCGGACUCGCAAUCGUGUAUUAGCCUUGCAAUAGAGUUACAGAGUCGUGAUUUCAGAAGCCUUCCAAGAAAGAAUUGAAGCAAAAAAAUCAGAAUCAGAGCAGAAUUGAGUGAUUUGAAUUUUGAGUCGAAGCCGUGACCUGGUGUAGUAUGCAGUAGGAAUGGACGAAUUCGGUAAUAGCGGAUUAAUAGAGUCGUAACUCGUGAACGUGAUUAGGUCUCCCGCUUGAAGAAGAAGAAGACUCAUUGCAACGUUCAAAUCAGACGCACGCUUGCGUCUCGCGAGGUGAGUCUACGACGUUUCAGUUUUCCAUAUCAUGUGUAUUCUCU